GACGAACGCUGGCGGCGUGCUUAACACAUGCAAGUCGAACGGAAAGGCCCUGCUUUUGUGGGGUGCUCGAGUGGCGAACGGGUGAGUAACACGUGAGUAACCUGCCCUUGACUUUGGGAUAACUUCAGGAAACUGGGGCUAAUACCGGAUAGGAGCUCCUGCUGCAUGGUGGGGGUUGGAAAGUUUCGGCGGUUGGGGAUGGACUCGCGGCUUAUCAGCUUGUUGGUGGGGUAGUGGCUUACCAAGGCUUUGACGGGUAGCCGGCCUGAGAGGGUGACCGGCCACAUUGGGACUGGGAUACGGCCCAGACUCCUACGGGAGGCAGCAGUGGGGAAUAUUGCACAAGGGGCGGAAGCCUGAUGCAGCAACGCCGCGUGCGGGAUGACGGCCUUCGGGUUGUAAACCGCUUUCGCCUGUGACGAAGCGUGAGUGACGGUAAUGGGUAAAGAAGCACCGGCUAACUACGU
rnacentral:rRNA from 1 species